UACGUAGGGCGCGAGCGUUAUCCGGAAUUAUUGGGCGUAAAGAGCUCGUAGGCGGUUUGUCACGUCCGCUGUGAAAACUGGAGGCUCAACCUCCAGCCUGCAGUGGGUACGGGCAGACUAGAGUGCGGUAGGGGAGAUUGGAAUUCCUGGUGUAGCGGUGGAAUGCGCAGAUAUCAGGAGGAACACCGAUGGCGAAGGCAGAUCUCUGGGCCGUAACUGACGCUGAGGAGCGAAAGCAUGGGGAGCGAACAGG
rnacentral:rRNA from 1 species